GGAGCUGUCAGUCAAUGCCAGCUCCUGGGUCCCUGCCCCUGGGGACAGGCAUCCCCGCCCAUGCUGCUGGCCUGCCACUUCGGAGAAGAGGCGAGGGUGGCUAGGUUGCGGGGAGGAGAGUCUUGAACACCAGUCUACCCUCUGCCCAUUCAAGGCCUUGUCACUAAGGCCAGGCCCUGAGCCUUAUCUUUUCAUCAUAUGCCCAUCAAGGUAUAUUGCUAAAGAGAAGAGAGCUCUCCAAUUUCAGAAGUUCUGCCUAAGCUUUAACGCCUGAUGUCUGGGAGCUCGUCUAAUUCUGCCACUUUAAGGGUCUACUCUGCAGUCCUCAAAGUUCAGAUGAUUCUUCCCCAAACCAUCAAAGACAGCCCUGGCUGUCUCUGAGUUCUUAUGCCCAUGAGGAUGACCUAUGAAUCCCAGAAAGAUACAGAAAUAUGUUGUGGCCAGUUUCCUGAUAGGACACACCAGUGGAUCCUAUAAUUCCAGCAGCCAGCUUGAGUCCCAUCUCCCCAGUGAAGUCUUUCAUGAACUACCCUGACCCCCAUUGCUUUCUUCUGCACCUGGCAGGAAGCUAGUAGCUAUAGAGCAGAAGAGUAUAAGGUUUGGGUGAGACAAAUGGGCUCCAACCCAAGAUCUACAACCUUUGAGCUGUGUAAACUUACCCUUUUAAGUAUCUGAUUCUUGCUAUAAAAUGGAUUAAUCAUAGUGCCUACUUCACAGAGUUGCUGUGAUUAUUGAGAAGAUGUAUAUAAAGUACUUAGCAUUGCAAGCAUUCAAUAAAGACUACUAUUUCUCUCUGGCAACCUCCCAUCAUCCUUUUCUGUUUCCAGAAUUGAGAAUCACCAGAGAACUCUGUUCCAGGAAUCAAGUGAUUAAAGUUACAGUUCCAGUGUCAUCACUAAAUAGCAAGGUGACCUUGGAUGCCUCAUUUUAUCAAAUCUCUCCAUUUUUCAACCUCUAAAAGUAGGAUAAUUUCACAGAUUUGUUAUAAGGAUGAAAAGAGAAAAUGGAUGGGAAAAGUUUGUGAAAGCCUUUGAGAUGUAGGACAAUAAAAAUGGGAAGAGAUCUGCUGGGAUGUUAUCUAGCCCAACCUUCCACCAGGGGCUCACUGAGACUCUGCAUGGAACUUUCACUAAUGGAAAAAUCACUCCCUCGCAGCAAGGUUUCAUUGUUGGCAGACACAAAAAGGACUUUCAAAAAUUAUUUUUAAAAUUUAAGAGAUAUUAUGUCUCUAGGAUGAUAUACAUGUUUCAAGUAGUAUUAAAAGCCACACUGAUGGAUAUGUAAUAAUA
rnacentral:lncRNA from 10 species